GGUGGGCUCACAGAUGAGCAGAUUACAGCACUGAGGAGAUAUUUGCCCACACCCAAAGAUGCAGAAAGGUACCUGUCCUUCAGGGGGUCUUGCUCAGAACUGCACGUGGUUGACCAGUUUAUGUUAGAGAUGUGUAAAAUCCCUCAGCUGGGGCGGAGGCUGGAUCUGCUGCUCAGCGUCCGUGAGCUCCCUGAGAGCAUCAGAGACCUGGAGCCUCUGAUCACCCAGAACAUCCAAGCCAGCAAGCAGCUGCAGUCCAGCCCCAAGUUUGCUGCU